rnacentral:rRNA from 1 species
AAAGAUCAAGCUACAAAGGGCAUAUGGUGAAUGCCUUGGCACCAGUAGCCGAUGAAGGACGUGAUAAGCUGCGAUAAGCUUCGGGUAGGCGCAAAUAGCCUGUGAUCCGGAGAUUUCCGAAUGGGGAAACCUGCAUACCUAACGGUAUGUACCAUAAACUGAAUACAUAGGUUUAUGGGGGUAUACCCGGGGAACUGAAACAUCUAAGUACCCGGAGGAAGAGAAAGAAAAAUCGAUUUUCUUAGUAGCGGCGAGCGAAAAGGAAAGAGCCCAAACCAGAAAUUUAUUUCUGGGGUUGUGGAUAGACCAUAACGAAGACAGACUUUAAUCGAAGAGAGCUGGAACGCUCUACCACAGAAGGUAAUAGUCCUGUAGGUAAAAAAUUAUGUCUUUUAGGUCUAAUCCAGAGUACCACGAGACACGUGAAACCUUGUGGGAAGCAGGGAGGACCACCUCCCAAGGCUAAAUACUAACUGGUGACCGAUAGUGAAGCAGUACCGUGAGGGAAAGGUGAAAAGAACCCCGGAAGGGGAGUGAAAUAGAACCUGAAACCGUAUGCUUACAAACAGUGGGAGCACGUUAAUGUGUGACCGCGUGCUUUUUGUAGAACGAGCCAGCGAGUUACGGUAUGUAGCAAGGUUAAGCACUUAAGGUGCGUAGCCGAAGGGAAACCGAGUCUGAAUAGGGCGACUAGUUGCAUGCUGUAGACCCGAAACCGAGUGACCUAUCCAUGGGCAGGUUGAAGCGGAAGUAAAAUUCCGUGGAGGACCGAACCACGUUGGUGUUGAAAAACCAUGGGAUGACCUGUGGAUAGCGGAGAAAUUCCAAUCGAACUCGGAGAUAGCUGGUUCUCCUCGAAAUAGCUUUAGGGCUAGCGUCUGGUUAUUGAGUAAUGGAGGUAGAGCACUGAAUGGGCUAGGGGCUGACAACAGUUACUGAACCCUAUCAAACUCCGAAUGCCAUAUACUUUUAUCCAGGCAGUCAGGCUGCGAGUGAUAAGAUCCGUAGUCGAGAGGGAAACAACCCAGACCAUCAGCUAAGGUCCCAAAGUGUAAGUUAAGUGGAAAAGGAUGUGGGAUUUCUAAGACAACUAGGAUGUUGGCUUAGAAGCAGCCACUCAUUUAAAGAGUGCGUAAUAGCUCACUAGUCAAGAGAUCCUGCGCCGAAGAUGUCCGGGGCUCAAACUUACCACCGAAGCUAUGGAUUCAAUAGAAUGGUAGAGGAGCUUCCUGUAUGGGUAGAAGUCGUAUCGUAAGAAGCGGUGGACUGUACAGGAGUGAGUAUGCUGGCAUGAGUAGCGAGAAAUAAGUGAGAAUCUUAUUGGUCGAAAACCUAAGGUUUCCUGAGGAAGGUUCGUCCGCUCAGGGUUAGUCGGGACCUAAGCCCAGGCCGAAAGGCGUAGGUGAUGGACAAUCGGUUGAUAUUCCGAUACCGCCAACUUUCGUUUGACAGAUGGGGUGACACAGAAGGAUAAGGUAUGCACACUAUUGGAUGUGUGUCUAAGCACUUAGGCGUGCUUGAUUGGAAAAUCCGUCAAGCUUAGCUGAGGUGUUACGGGGAGCCUAUUUUGGCGAAGUACCUGAUUCCACACUGUCAAGAAAAGCCUCUAUGGAGAAUGUUGGUGCCCGUACCGCAAACCGACACAGGUAGGUGAGGAGAGAAUCCUAAGACCAUCGGAAGAAUUGCUGUUAAGGAACUAGGCAAAUUGACCCCGUAACUUCGGGAGAAGGGGUGCCUGCUUCACGGCAGGCCGCAGUGAAUAGGCCCAAGCAACUGUUUAUCAAAAACACAGGUCUCUGCUAAAGCGAAAGCUGAUGUAUAGGGGCUGACGCCUGCCCGGUGCUGGAAGGUUAAAGGGAUCUGUUAGCGUAAGCGAAGCGGUGAACUUAAGCCCCAGUGAACGGCGGCCGUAACUAUAACGGUCCUAAGGUAGCGAAAUUCCUUGUCGGGUAAGUUCCGACCCGCACGAAUGGCGUAAUGACUUGGGCACUGUCUCAACAGCAAAUCCGGCGAAAUUGUAGUGCAAGUGAAGAUGCUUGCUACCCGCGAUAGGACGGAAAGACCCCGUAGAGCUUUACUGUAGCUUAACAUUGAAUUUCGGUAUUGUCUGUACAGGAUAGGUGGGAGACUUGGAAGCAGGAGCGUCAGUUUCUGUGGAGUCACCCUUGGGAUACCACCCUGAUAGUACUGAAAUUCUAACGGAAAGCCUUGAAACAGGUUGCCGGACAUUGUUAGGUGGGCAGUUUGACUGGGGCGGUCGCCUCCUGCACCUCGAUGUCGGCUCGUCGCAUCCUGGGGCUGGAGUAGGUCCCAAGGGUUGGGCUGUUCGCCCAUUAAAGCGGCACGCGAGCUGGGUUCAGAACGUCGUGAGACAGUUCGGUCCCUAUCCGUCGCGGGCGUAGGAAAUUUGAAGGGAGCUGUCCUUAGUACGAGAGGACCGGGAUGGACUGACCUCUGGUGCACCAGUUGUCACGCCAGUGGCACAGCUGGGUAGCUAAGUCAGGAAGGGAUAAACGCUGAAAGCAUCUAAGCGUGAAGCCCACCCUAAGAUGAGAUUUCCMAUGACGUAAGUCAAUAAGAUCCCUUGAAGAACACAAGGUUGAUAGGUCAGAGGUGUAAGUGCAGCAAUGUAUUUAGCUGACUGAUACUAAUAGAUCGAAGGCUUGAUCAAAA